rnacentral:lncRNA from 1 species
UUUUACAAAGGAAGGGUCCAUUGUCAUGUUUUUUACCUUGCAAAAUCUUGAGAUAUAUUGAUUGUGAUAUUAUUGUUAAUACUUUCAUGUGACAAAGGAUUCCAAAUCCAAAAUCAUACCUAUAGAUGAGAAGAUAUAUUGAUUGUGAUAUUAUUGUUAAUACUUUCAUGUGACAAAGGAUUCCAAAUCCAAAAUCAUACCUAUAGAUGAGAUAAAAGGACAGUGGACUGGUGUCUCUUGCUAUUAUGUAGUUGACCUUUGUCUGUGAAAUGAGAUCAUGAGACUUUCACAUAUUGCUGAAACUUGUGUUUUGAAAAGAUCCUUGUGACUUGUAUUUGAUACUUG